rnacentral:rRNA from 2 species
UUGGGCGUAAGAGCUCGUAGGCGGUUUGUCGCGUCUGCUGUGAAAUCCCGAGGCUCAACCUCGGGUCUGCAGUGGGUACGGGCAGACUAGAGUGCGGUAGGGGAGAUUGGAAUUCCUGGUGUAGCGGUGGAAUGCGCAGAUAUCAGGAGGAACACCGAUGGCGAAGGCAGAUCUCUGGGCCGUUACUGACGCUGAGGAGCGAAAGGGUGGGGAGCAAACAGGCUUAGAUACCCUGGUAGUCCACCCCGUAAACGUUGGGAACUAGUUGUGGGGUCCAUUCCACGGAUUCCGUGACGCAGCUAACGCAUUAAGUUCCCCGCCUGGGGAGUACGGCCGCAAGGCUAAAACUCAAAGGAAUUGACGGGGACCCGCACAAGCGGCGGAGCAUGCGGAUUAAUUCGAUGCAACGCGAAGAACCUUACCAAGGCUUGACAUAUACGAGAACGGGCCAGAAAUGGUCAACUCUUUGGACACUCGUAAACAGGUGGUGCAUGGUUGUCGUCAGCUCGUGUCGUGAGAUGUUGGGUUAAGUCCCGCAACGAGCGCAACCCUCGUUCUAUGUUGCCAGCACGUAAUGGUGGGAACUCAUGGGAUACUGCCGGGGUCAACUCGGAGGAAGGUGGGGAUGACGUCAAAUCAUCAUGCCCCUUAUGUCUUGGGCUUCACGCAUGCUACAAUGGCCGGUACAAAGGGCUGCAAUACCGCGAGGUGGAGCGAAUCCCAAAAAGCCGGUCCCAGUUCGGAUUGAGGUCUGCAACUCGACCUCAUGAAGUCGGAGUCGCUAGUAAUCGCAGAUCAGCAACGCUGCGGUGAAUACGUUCCCGGGUCUUGUACACACCGCCCGUCAAGUCAUGAAAGUCGGUAACACCUGAAGCCGGUGGCCCAACCUUGUGGAGGGAGCCGUCGAAGUGGGGAUCGGUAAUUAGGAC